GAAAGCAUGCCUGGUGGAAGGAACAGCACAGCAAAGGCUCCCAGUAGCAAAGAGCCUGAGCUGGCCGGGGAGCCAGCCGAACACCCACACUGACGUCAGAGAACAUGGCAAGUGAGUUUAAGAAGACCCAACAGUGCCCAUGGAAGGAGGGGAAUGAUUUAAAUGGUACCAAAUAUGAGAAAGAAUCACUGGAAAUUUUGGAGAAUUUCAGUGUACGUGUAAAGCAGUUGCAGAAAACACACAGUCUCCGGCUGACAUUGAGGGCUUGGAGACGCACACUGGUCCCUCGUGGUGGGAAUUCAUCUACGCAAAUCCUCCUGCUUGGGAUGAGGAGCCAGAGCUCCACGGUAACUGAACAUUCCAAGAAAAGC
rnacentral:lncRNA from 1 species